AGAGAUCUUAGCUUAAUUAAAGUGUUUGAGUUGCAUUCAGGAGAUGUAUUGUUAUACAGAUCUU
rnacentral:tRNA from 1 species